ACGUGCCUAUUCCAGGUGCUGUGCUGGACUACAACAGGUUCAUGGUCUGAUGCCCUCACUGGAUACUACAAAGUGCUCCACAAGACACGGAAGUGGUAUAAGACCUUCUUUUACCACUUAUAUUAGAUAUUGCUGUUGUCAAUGCCUUCAUUUUGCAUCAGCAUCUGGCCAGAGCAAAAAAAGAAAGACCCCUGACCCAGAAAGCAUUCAGGGAAACACUUGUUCUGGAACUUGCAGGGUUGGAAUCGGGCACAGCUGCUCCUCAGGCUUCAAAAGUGGAUUGCCACAAUCCGAAGCACGUCACAGAUGACAGCACUGCUGGACGGCGAAAGUGCAAGCUUUGCCAUCAGAAGACACCAGUCGUGUGUGCAACCUGUGAGGUGCCACUGUGUUUUUUACCAAAACGGGACUGUUUCAAUGACUGGCAUGAGCAAGAAAUGUUUCCAAGUUCAGGUGGAUACAUCAGACCCUGAAAAAUAGUUCUGAGGAGGGAGAUGAAGGGAGGGAAGCCAUUGCUGGUGUGAGACUGGAACAGCGAGGGAUGCAUGACCAGGUUCUGAGUCUUGAGUCGGCGCAGUUGAAGCAAGUGUGACAGGCUGGCAUGAGACAGUAUAGGUUAGUUUUCACACACACACACACACGUGUAUACACAGUGUUGCAAAUUUGAUUUGUUCUGCUUCCAUACUUUCCCACUUUCUCUUUCUCCCUUUCUUGUCUUUC